UUAGGUUUAAUGGCUAAGCUUAAAGCCCAGGUUCGGGGUGCGGGGUGGUGGGCCUGGGCCUAGACCACCCCUGCACUUUGGGUUUUCUGCUCAUGGGCGGUGCAGUGGACGCGGGGUGGUGAGUGGCGGUUCCCCGGCACCCACCCCUGCCUUUCACCCCGCCUGUCACUAGGGUUCCCCCACUCCCUUCCCCCUUCCCUUUCCCCUUCACCUUCUCUAUCAGUUGCUACGGUAGCCCUUCUCCGUCGGUAUGGUGGUUCCUCCUCCCAUUCCCAGUCACUAGGAAUCUAGGAUGGUUUCCCCUCCCCUUCCUAGUCACUAGGCUCCCCCUUCCUACGGUUUGCUUUGCCCCAAGGACACACUCUCUCUGUUCAGUCCCAACCACCUUUCACAGCCAAUUUUCUUUCUCUUUGCUUUCUCACACUUUCUCUUCUGAAAGCUUCCCUGAAUCUCGACCUGCCCCUAAACGACACUGAUCUCCUCCUCAUUGUACCCUUGACUUGCUUACAUUUCCCAAGUCAUCUCGAUCAAUCUACUUUAGCUCAGCUUAGUUGAGAGGUAGAUUUACUAUGGAAAAUGGUACAGUGGAGAAGGGGGUAUGCUCCUCCGAAUCGGUUAAUGGAAGCCCUGACAUUUGGAGCUGCAAGGACUCUCAUUCUUUGUCCAUUGAUCAUCUUGUUGCCAUGGUUCAUGGAAUCUUCGGCAGAUUUGGUCUUACUCUCAUGAGUGGAAGCACAAGUGGCAGUGGCAGUGGCAGCAACAGCAGCACAAGCAGGCAUGAUGAUGCCAGUUUCAUACGCUGUUCCUGGUGCUUCUUCCACACCAAGAAAAGCAAAGCUAAGAGACAGGGGAUGCAUAUUGGAAUGCAAUUGACAGGGGCAUAAGAUGUACAAUUGCAGCAGAAUUAUGAUGGUGUAAUGCUUUAAGAUUUGGUCUUACUCUCUUGUUAUUGAAGCUCCAGAUUUGUUACUAUUGACUUGGUUAUUAAUGGACCUGAGAUUGUGGUGACAAAUGUUUUGGUUAUAGAAGUUCCAGAUAUGGUGUGAAAUCAUAAUAGAUGAACAAAACAAUUAUGCAGAUACCUUUCAUGUCCCUUGUGUAUUCGCGUUAUUGAUGUUACUUCCAUUUUGUGUA